AUGACUAUCCGUGAUGGUGAAAGCGAUGAGGAAGAAUACGAAUCUGAAGAUGUAGAUGGACAAGAGGUUUGUCAAGAAGAAGGUGAAGAGGUGGUAUGUGUGAUCCAGCGCGUCCUAUGUUCCACACCACAACUCGAUGACACACAACGGAAGAAAAUAUUUGAGAGCAAAUGCAUGGUGAAUGGCAAGGUAUGCAAACUAGUGAUUGAUAGUUGCAGCUGCGAGAAUCUUAUCUCCCAGAAGUUGGUGGACCAUUUAAAGCUUGAACCCCAUGAUCAUCCAAAUGCCUACACUAUUGGAUGGAUGAAGAAAUGA
rnacentral:rRNA from 1 species